rnacentral:lncRNA from 1 species
UAGGAUCUUGGGUUGACUAAGCACCCUUCUCUUUAUCAGCCACCAUUUUACCCUUUUGCAUAAACCACAUCGAAUGAUUAGUCACAAUUUCGAUCAAUAUCAAAGUUUUGAAAAAAUGAAUAAAGUGUACUAACUCGUUCGUCAACAGCUCCUAUUGUGAAUUGAUCGGAAGGUUAUGAUAAUAAUGAAAUAAAGUGAAGCAAAACAAGAACACAAAGAUUUUACGUGAAAACCCAAGACAGAAAAAACUACGGGUAGAGAAGAAGAAUUCACUAUGAUCAAUAGUAAUUGUGUUUACAAGAUCUCAAUAUUUUCAACUAAGAUCUAAAGCUCUCAAGAUGUCGUAUAUUCUUUUGUUCUCGACAAUACAUGCCGUUUAUAUAUAUAUAUAUAACUCUAGAAACUAAGUUGUAAAUGAAUAGAAGUCUAAAACACAUUAAAAUGUGAAAAGUCGGAAAGCAUCGGCGUCAAGCGACAAGGAAGUGAGAAGCAAGCAACAAUUCUCUGUUGAGAAAUUCAAUGGUGAUGCUCGAGCGUCCAAAUGGCAAAGAUCUAGCGAAAAAGCAGCAAUAAAUUGUCCCGGUACAUAAGUUGAUUUUUCCUAAACCACUUCAAAUUAGAACUCCAAUACCCACUAUGCUCACACUACAACAACUUCGUUGCACUGUAAUCAGUUCUAAGUCCUCUUCAAACCAAUCCUAUCGAGAUAAACCAUGAUCCAGAUGACUUCUUUUUAGUUUAUCGGAUGCAAUUCCCCUAACAAAUGACAUGGAUAAUGGCAUUCAAAGAAGUUCCAAUCUCCAAUUUCUUUGCGGUCAUAAUUUCUUUGCAAUCUUCAACUUCUUCGCAGUGAUAAUUUCCAAUUUAUAAAAAAAAUUCUUUACACAUAAAUUUCAAAGGUAUUCAAAAAACUUUCAAACCAGAAGUUGCAAAAGUUUUCUAUCAACAAAAACAUAAACGCAGAACUUUAGAAGAACAUUUUGCUUGAACUUUCUACCCAUUUAUUUCCAUUUUGGGUACUCCAAUUCACAUGGCCACAAAACACCGAAAAAAUAAUAAAAAUAAAAAUUGACAAAUGUUUUAGAAUUAACUCCAUGUGGUCUCUCCAUGUGUACGGUUACAACAAGCUUUGCGGUCCUUCGAUUGUGUGGCAAAAUGGAUUUGAGGAUUAGGGUUCAAAGAGGAUUUGGGCUUUCAAUUUUGGUAGCUUGGAUUCUCGAUUCACGAUUUGAAUUGAAAUAAUCGAGGCUUGUUUGGGAGUUAAUGACCUGGCAUUUCA